UACGGGGGGGGCAAGCGUUGUUCGGAAUCACUGGGCGUAAAGCGCACGUAGGCGGAUCUUUAAGUCAGGGGUGAAAUCCUGGAGCUCAACUCCAGAACUGCCUUUGAUACUGGGGAUCUCGAGUCCGGAAGAGGUGAGUGGAACUCCGAGUGUAGAGGUGAAAUUCGUAGAUAUUCGGAAGAACACCAGUGGCGAAGGCGGCUCACUGGUCCGGUACUGACGCUGAGGUGCGAAAGCGUGGGGAGCAAACAGG
rnacentral:rRNA from 1 species